AUUGAACGCUGGCGGCAUGCUUUACACAUGCAAGUCGAACGGUAACAGGUUAAGCUGACGAGUGGCGAACGGGUGAAUAAUGCAUCGGAACGUGCCCGGUCGUGGGGGAUAACGCAGCGAAAGCUGCGCUAAUACCGCAUACGAUCUGAGGAUGAAAGCGGGGGACCGUAAGGCCUCGCGCGAUCGGAGCGGCCGAUGUCAGAUUAGGUAGUUGGUGGGGUAAAGGCUCACCAAGCCGACGAUCUGUAGCUGGUCUGAGAGGACGACCAGCCACACUGGGACUGAGACACGGCCCAGACUCCUACGGGAGGCAGCAGUGGGGAAUUUUGGACAAUGGGCGCAAGCCUGAUCCAGCAAUGCCGCGUGCAGGAAGAAGGCCUUCGGGUUGUAAACUGCUUUUGUACGGAGCGAAAAGGCUCUCUCUAAUACGGAGGGCUCAUGACGGUACCGUAAGAAUGAGCACCGGCUAACUACGUGCCAGCCGCCGCCGUAA
rnacentral:rRNA from 1 species